CGCGUAGGCGGAUCUUCAAGUCGGAUGUGAAAUCUUGCAGCUCAACUGCAAGCCUGCAUUCGAAACUGAAGGUCUUGAGUACAGUAGAGGAAAGCGGAAUUCCAGGUGUAGCGGUGAAAUGCGUAGAUAUCUGGAAGAACACCAGUAGCGAAGGCGGCUUUCUGGGCUGAUACUGACGCUGAAGCGCGAAGGCUUGGGUAGCAAACAGGAUUAGAUACCCUGGUAGUCC
rnacentral:rRNA from 1 species